rnacentral:rRNA from 1 species
UACGAAGGGGGCUAGCGUUGCUCGGAAUCACUGGGCGUAAAGGGUGCGUAGGCGGGUCUUUAAGUCAGAGGUGAAAUCCUGGAGCUUAACUCCAGAACUGCCUUUGAGACUGCAUCGCUUGAAUCGUGGAGAGGUAAGUGGAAUUCCGAGUGUAGAGGUGAAAUUCGUAGAUAUUCGGAAGAACACCAGUGGCGAAGGCGACUUACUGGACACGUAUUGACGCUGAGGUGCGAAAGCGUGGGGAGCAAACAGG